rnacentral:misc_RNA from 1 species
AAAAUCCCAUAUUUUUUUUUCUUUAGGAAAUGCACCUUGGAAUGUCACAGCUGGUUUUGAACAAUGGGACGAGUAUCGAAUGCCACGCCCUCAGAUGUACAGAUCCCCGCAUCCUGUUUUUGUGAGUGACACGUAAAACGAAUGCAAGUGCAUUGAAUUAUAUCACAGUGCGUCUCCGAAUGAAUGGGAAGAGAAUAUAUGAUACUCGGACUCAUCAACGGAUCUCAAAGUCUGCCAAUGGAAUGUUUUUCCUACUUAUUUAUGAGUAAAUGUUUGAUUUUAUUCUGUAACCAUAGUAUAAGUGUUUCGACGCGAGCGAGAUCUACGUUCAAACCAUUCAUAAUCAAAAUGACGUCAUGAUGAAUACAUGUGUGGUAAUGAUUGCACAAUGGGGGCCAGUUUCAGCCAUGAAAUCGUCUUCAACAUUCCUAGAACAUCAUACGACGUGUAAUGAAAAUCAAAAUCAUUUCAGAAGUUACAUAUUGUGGUUUCACCUUAUACUGUAUGUUUAAAGCGUUAACCGUAUGUCUUCCAAUGACAUUCCAUUCCCUGCCGGGGACUGAUUCAGAGGUCGGGGAGUAUGCUUCAACACACGACCAUAUUGGCCAGUUAUGUAGUCUUCUACAAGAUUGAUGUAAGGUUUUUAAUGAACCCCUAGUUCUCAAUUUGGCUGCUUAUUUACGAAGCCGGGAUUGAGUGUGUGCUAUGUGCAUUUAUAAUUUUAUACCAUGUUUCAAUGCAGUACUUAGUUUAAGUGAUCAUUGUUGUUAUAUAGUGCGUUGAUAAGGGCUUUUGGCCCUUCUUGUUUUUCAAUAUUAUAAUGAUUUGUUUAUAUGCUAAAAUGUAAUCAAAUGGUGUUCAAAGGUGACUUCAAAUAUGUUCAUCGACAAUGGCUCUUUUAUACCCAAUGUAUACGUAAGCAGGCAUUGAUAUAUAUUUAUCCCAUGUUGGCGUGCAAUCCUGUUUGAUUGUUAUAUAUAUAUAUAUAUAUAUAUUCAUAUACUGUACAUCGAUUUCCUCAAUUUAUAUUUUUAUAUGUUUUAUAGUUAAUUUAUAUCAUUAAAAAUUAUAAAAUAUGCACGUACAAUUU